UGCCUGUAGGACUGGGAUACCUCCGGGAAACCGGGGCAAAUACCGGAUGGUUGUUUCAACCGCAUGGUUCAAACAGAAAAGGUGGCUUCGGCUACCACUUACAGAUGGACCCGCGGCGCAUUAGCUAGUUGGUCAGGGAACGGCUCACCAAGGCAACGAUGCGUAGCCGACCUCAGAGGGUCAUCGGCCACACUGGGACUCAGACACGGCCCAGACUCCUACGGGAGGCAGCAGUAGGGAAUCUUCCGCAAUGGACGAAAGUCUCACGGAGCAACGCCGCGUCAGUCAUCAAGGUUUUCGGAUCGUCAAGCUCUGUUGUUAGGGAAGAACAAGUACCGUUCGAAUAGGGCGGUACCUUCACGGUACCUUACCAGAAAGCCACGGCUCACUACGUGCCAGCAGCCGCGGUUAUACGUAGGUGGCAAGCGUUGUCCGGAAUUAUUGGGCGUUAGGGGCUCGCAGGCGGUUUCUUAGGUCUCAUGUCAAAGCCCCCGGCUCAACCGGGGAGGGUCAUUGGAAACUGGGGAACUUCAGUGCAGAAGAGGAGAGUGGAAUUCCACGUGUAGCGGUCAAAUGCGUAGAGAUGUGGAGGAACACCAGUGGCGAAGGCGACUCUCUGGUCUGGACUCACGCUCAGGAGCGAAAGCGUGGGGAGCGAACAGGAUUAGAUACCCUGGUAGUCCACGCCGUCACGAUCAGUGCUAGGUGUUAGGGGGUUUCCGCCCCUUAGUGCUGCAGCUCACGCAUUAGGCACUCCGCCUGGGGAGUACGGUCGCAAGACUCAAACUCAAAGGAAUUCACGGGGGCCCGCACAAGCGGUGGAGCAUGUGGUUUAGUUCGAAGCAACGCGAAGAACCUUACCAGGUCUUCACAUCCUCUCACAAUCCUAGAGAUAGGACGUCCCCUUCGGGGGCAGAGUCACAGGUGGUGCAUGGUUGUCGUCAGCUCGUGUCGUCAGAUGUUGGGUACAGUCCCGCAACGAGCGCAACCCUUCAUCUUAGUUGCCAGCAUUCAGUUGGGCACUCCAAGGUCACUGCCGGUCACAAACCGGAGGAAGGUGGGGAUCACGUCAAAUCAUCAUGCCCCUUAUCACCUGGGCUACACACGUGCUACAAUGGACAGAACAAAGGGCAGCGAAACCGCGAGGGAAAGCCAAUCCCACAAAUCUGUUCUCAGUUCGGAUCGCAGUCUGCAACUCGACUGCGUCAAGCUGGAAUCGCUAGUAGUC
rnacentral:rRNA from 1 species